rnacentral:rRNA from 1 species
UACGUAGGGUGCAAGCGUUAAUCGGAAUUACUGGGCGUAAAGCGUGCGCAGGCGGUUUGUAAGUUUGUCGUGAAAGCCCCGGGCUCAACCUGGGAAUUGCGAUGAAGACUGCAAGGCUUGAAUCUGGCAGAGGGGGGUAGAAUUCCACGUGUAGCGGUGAAAUGCGUAGAGAUGUGGAGGAACACCGAUGGCGAAGGCAGCCCCCUGGGUCAAGAUUGACGCUCAUGCACGAAAGCGUGGGGAGCAAACAGG